rnacentral:lncRNA from 10 species
AGGCUGGGAAGUCCAAGAUCAAGUUGCCAGCCUCUGAUAAGGACCUUCUUGCUUUGUCAUCCCAUGGUGGAAAGCAGACGGUAUAUUCUUUAAGGAACCUGGUUUUAUGCACAACUCUCUGUCACAACUCCCCAAGUUACCAUCACCAAGGGUUCUCCUCCUACCCCGAGAAGUUAUGACACCUACGUCUCUGCAAGCACCCACGGUCACUGUGAAUUGGAAUUUCCUUAUCACUCUGCUGUUGUGAUUUAUAUUUUUGGUUCCUGGGUAGUGUUCUUCCUGUUUUGUGAGCAUAAGUACACAUUUGCAACAGUAUAUUUCAAUGCUUUACUUAGAAUUUCUAGGUGUUUUGUUGUAGGAAGGUUUCAAAGAAUAAUCUAGACUAAAUAAUUUCUUAUAUGUUUUGAAUGCAUUAUUGAAAUUAUUCUUUGUAACUAGAGGAUACACUAUGGCUACAUGGCUUUCUCCCUUUCUAUAAAUUAUCCAGUUUAAUUUUAUUAUAAGCUUUUUUGAGGGAAACAAUAAAAAAACUUUUCUAUCUCUACAAAUAAAACAAAAUUACUCAAAGAAGAGAUGUAGUUUAUUUUGAACACUAUCAAGAAUACACAUAUUUUAUUCAGGAGAGUGAUACAUAUAGGUAUAUUUCUUCAUAACUAUUGAUAAAGGAAGAAAAGGUCAAUAUAUUCACUAAACAUGAUUACAUCUCCCUCUGGCAGGGUCUUAGGCACACAUAAUAAUGAGACAAGUUAUAUUCUUCCAAAGUUGCCUACCUUUGUCAUUUUCUAAACCUAUUUUAUAUGUUUCAUUUUUGACACAUACACUCUUAUUUUUAUAUUAUUUUCAGUGAUAUAGAUAAUAUUUUAAGUUAAACUGUAAUCUACAUAUCUUUGCUUUUGAUCUCUGUUGUCAGAGCUAUGCCAU